AUGUCUCCGGAGCUCCGGAAUUCCGGGAAUUCCCGGGAUUUCUUUGGAAUUCUCACAAUCUCAUCUCACAGUCACGGCUGUGGGAUGUCUCCGGAGCUCCGGAAUUCCAGGAAUUCUCGGGAAUUCUCAGAGUCUCAUCUCGUAGUCGCGGCCGUGGGAUGUCUCCGGAGCUCCGGAAUUCCGGGAAUUCCCGGGAUUUUCUCUGGAAUUCUCAGAGCCUCAUCUCGUAGUGGCAGCCAUGGGAUGUCUCCGGAGCUCCGGAAUUCCGGGAUUUCCCGGGAAUUCUCUGGAAUUCUCACAGUCUCAUCUCGUAGUCGCGGCCGUGGGAUGUCUCUGGAGCUCCGGAGCUCCGGAAUUCCGGGAUUUCCCGGGAUUUCUCUGGAAUUCUCACAGUCUCAUCUCGUAGUCGCGGCCGUGGGAUGUCUCCGGAGCUCCGGAAUUCCGGGAAUUCCCGGGAUUUCUCUGGAAUUCUCAGAGUCUCAUCUCGUAGUCGCGGCCGUGGCUCAGGUGCCGCAGCCAGCGCUGCGCCGCCGCCCCCGAGAGCCGCAGGAGCCGGACCCGGAGCCCGGAGCACGAGAGGCCGGGCAGCUCGAAGGAGGCGCGGGCGGGACCCAGCUCCAGCCGCCACGCCCGGCCCAGAGACCACAGCUCCAGCUGGGAAUGUUCCGGAAUGUUCCGGGAUGUUCCGGGGUUUUUUUGGGAUUUUUUGGGAUUUUUUACAGGGUGUUUUGGGGGUUUUUGGGGCUGGUUUGGGGUUUUGGGCAGCUCGAAGGAGGCGCGGGCGGGACCCAGCUCCAGCCGCCAUGCCCGGCCCAGACAGGACAGCUCCAGCUGGGAAUGUUCCGGAAUGUUCCGGGAUGUUCCGGGGUUUUUUUGGGAUUUUUUGGGAUUUUUUACGGGCUGUUUUGGGGGUUUUUGGGGCUGGUUUGGGGUUUUGGGCAGCUCGAAGGAGGCGCGGGCGGGACCCAGCUCCAGCCGCCACGCCCGGCCCAG
rnacentral:lncRNA from 1 species